GGUUGGGUGAGUAGCUAGCAGUCUCUGCCAUGGAUGGCCUCUCUGAGGAGGUGACAUGGAAGGUGAGAACCUAAGGAUGAGUUGGUGUUAAAGAGAGGGAGGAGUUUUCCAGGCAAGAGGGAUGACAUGUCUCAGGGACACGAGGCAGGCGAGAGCGGCUCUACUGUUUAAUGCUGCUUAAUGCUGGUAACGUCCACCUCACACAGCCCUCCUGAUGCUUAGAACUUGUGAGUGCCAUCACCUGAUCUGGAUUCACCUGCCUUUUCUCUCUCAUGUCUUGCAGGGCUGGGAUGAGCCAGGACCGCAAGGAGGGGGGCUUUGUGCUGACUCCCGGAAGGCUGGUUGUGUAUCCUCAGCUUUGAGAACUGAAUUCCAUGGGUUGUGUCAGUGUCAGACCUGUGAAGUUCAGUUCUUCAGCUGGGAUAUCUCUGUCGUCGUGGACCUGGGGAUACUGCAGAGAACAGACCCAAGGGUGGCCGAAGGAUUUGGAAAACUGGACCAGAUGGGGUCUCAGACUCUGAAGGAAUAGGGAGGGUGUGCUCAUGGGAAAAGCAGUCAUUUGAUUGUGAGAAAACUUGAAUUCUAUGCUGAGCAGUUUUCUAAGCAGCUAACUGCUGUCUGCAAGUCAUUCUUGCUACAGUUGUGGCUGCUACUAUUUUACAUAUAUUGAUUACUGCUGGCAGUCCAGGUACUGUACUAAGUGCUUUACAUGCUGCUAUAGGAGAUUCUGGGGGGAAAUCACUAAUGAAGCUUGGGACACCCAGAACUGACAUGUAACGACAUUUCCCCCUCUUCGUGGGAUCAGGCAGCAUUAAUAGAAUGUGAUGGUUAUUCUUUAGCAUGGAUUGCUGAGAUAACUGGUCCCUUUUAAAGAUGAGAAUCAUGGGUACAUCCCUCUUACGGUCCCCUGUCUUUUUAUUUGGAUAUCUACUUCCUUGCCUUCUAUAAAUACAUUAGGAUACAUUGUCUUUGUGUUAUAAGCAAGGCAAAAUAGGUUGUAAUUAGACUUUACCAGGAUCCCUAGUUUCUCCCUGGGAAAAGGGAUACAGAGGUUUUGAAGGCUUCCUCCAUUUGCUGGCAUGGUUAGCUGUAUGUGGUGGGUCAAGCCCUUUCAUUGUCUUCCUCUGUCACCAAGUCAGUUAGGUCUAUUUUGAGGCUCACGUGUGGUAUGAUGAUGACAAUUUCCACCUUUAGGCAGAGUGCUUGGGCUGUAUAAGUAAUACUUGGACUUUCAUCAGGUUUUAGAUUGGAUGGGAAUACGAAGUCUCAUCCCUUGGAAACUCCUUGAUGCGUCACUGUCUCUUGGUGUCUUGAAAGGUCCAUCUCUGUAUAGUGUACAGAAGUAAAGUGUGGUCUGGCCCAGAGAGGAGAGGCAGGCACAAAGUGGGUGACCCCAGAGCAUGUGCAUUCUCACACUUUCUUCUCAGUGACCCUGAGGUUUAUUGAGUGCCUACCAUGGGUUGGCCACUGUGCUCAGGGCAUAGCUUACAUUCACACCAAGCCUCAUCUGGAAAACAGGGACUGUUUACAAAGGGAUAUUGUAACCACACUCUAUGGAUGUAAAGAGGUGCUUGGUUCUUGUGAAAGUGCUCUGGCAUGGGUGUGGAGCCUGUGCGUCUUCUCGGGGCUGUGCCGAUAGUAUCAAGAGCCUCCCCCACCCAUCGCACCCUGCCCACUUCCGUCCUUUGCUUACUAGACCCUUACUUAGCCAGUGACUCAUUCUUGAACCAGAACGUUGGUGAAGCUCAACUGAGACCAGAGAUCAGCGUCUUUACACCUAGACUGUUGGAGAAAAUCUAGAAUUGACACCAAAAGCUCCAAAUGCUCUGGGUUUCAGACCAUCUGUGCUGUGAACACUCAGACCCAGAACUCUGACUUACUACAAAAGGCUCAUCCUUACCACAGAGAGAGACAGAGCAUGAGCAGGGGAGAGGCAGACAGAGAAGGAAACACAGAAUCUGAAGCAGGCUCCAGGCUCCGAGCUGUCAGCACAGAGCCGGACGCGGGGCUCGAACUCACAAACAGCAAGAUCAUGACCUGAGCUGAAGUCGGACGCCUAACCGACUGAGCCACCCAGGCGCCCCAAUGCUGGAAACUUCUUCAACCUGUGGAGUGGAAGACCAGGAGAGGGAUUUGGUAAUGACUGUUGGGUCAGCCAGCCAACAGUAGUCACCACAAGAUACUUGCCAAGGUCAAGUGUUUGUCUUAUUUGACCCAAUGAGCCUAUUUCACACCCAUCAUCUAGGGAUUGCUGUUUCUCACAUCUCUGGCCCAGACUAGAAGUGGCCCAGAGCCUGCCAAACCCAAUCUCUCACUGGAUAUAGCACCAUCUAACACAUGCUAACAUUUUUCAUCAAUAUUAGUGUCAUUGCAAAGUGCCGUUAAAAUAGAAGUGGUUUCAUACAUUA